rnacentral:snoRNA from 1 species
GCCAUGUGACCAGAGCGUGAUUAACAGCUAUCCAUGGUUUCUCGAGCUGUGGUUACAGUAGAUGAUCGUUCUUAGACCCUAAUUUCAGACCUAAGAUGGUCUCAUGGCUGUCUGA